GAUGACCACACCCGGCCACUGCAAGUCGAAUGGCAUCUUCAAGUGAAUUAUACACAGAGAAGUGGACUCAUCGUAGAAAUAGGUUCUUUAGAACGAGCGACAGGGGAAAGGCGGUUUCUUUGCAACUAUCAACUUCAUAAGACUGAUAAGAAAAACACAAUGAGACUGUUCACGAGUGAAGUAAAUCGGAUUGUUUCUGGUUUGUAAGUAGAUCUUCUUUACGUAAAAGGGACAAGGUCUAUCGCCGUGUCUGACUGAGUCGUCUGUAUCAAACAACAGGUAAAAGACUGAUCUAUAUACGGUAGGUACCUGGCUUACAAUUCUAAAUCACAAGGAAACAUGUCAAUAAGCUGUAGGACUUAGUACACAAUGAAGAAACUAGUGUUCUGAAUGGUCUUGACUGGUUUCACUGGCUCCAUUCAAGACAACAACAAAGUUUCAGAUAUUCCUUCAAAAAUGAAGAUUUUUAGAUCUCUUGUUCAAACCUCCUCAGAAAUGGAAGUGGGCAGGCAGGCUUCAAACUUGGGACAAUGGUGAUGACAGUUUGAAGCACAUACAUUAUCACAUGUACUUAGACCCCUGAUCUAGGUAGAAUCUAGGUACAUCUAGAUACAAUAUCUAAUAAUUAGCUAUUACCACUAUACUGAGUAGAUUUAUAUAUAAAUAUAUAGAUUGUUAUAUAUAUAGUAUAUAAUAUAGAUUACAACAUUUAUGCCAAGUUUUAUCAAGAUUGGUCAAACUCAAACGGUUUUGAUUUCUAUUUCUUGGGACAUACAAGAUGUGAUGAUGAUACAUACAAUGAUACAUACACCUCACUUUAUGCUUUAAAUUAUUAUAGAUAGUUCUAGAUCUAGUCUAGAAUACAUCUAUGAUCUAGACUAGAAUAAUCUAGAUUAUAUUAAGAUUAUAAAAUAAAGAAAUUAAAUUAGGGAGCACUAAAACCUUCUUCCCCUCCUUUAACAAAUCCAUAAACAGAGAUCAGACUUGAGUGUACUUAGCAUGCUAUAGGAGCAUGGAAGAUACACUUCUAUACACAAAUGAUACUAAUAACAUGUUUUAAUUAAAUAAUUAGUAUAUGAACAAGAUUUAGAUUGAAGAUUUAGUCCAGAUUUUUAUAUGAAAAAAGGGAUGACAGGGGCUUCUACAGGAUUAAUUCAGAAAUAAAAA